CCUACGGGUGGCAGCAGUGAGGAAUAUUUGUCAAUGGCCGGAAGGCUGAACCAGCCAUGCCGCGUGAAGGUCAGUGCCCUAUGGGUUGUAAACUUCUUUUAUAAAGGAAUAAAGUGAGGCACGUGUGCCUUUUUGUAUGUACUUUAUGAAUAAGGAUCGGCUAACUCCGUGCCAGCAGCCGCGGUAAUACGGAGGAUCCGAGCGUUAUCCGGAUUUAUUGGGUUUAAAGGGAGCGUAGAUGGGUUGUUAAGUCAGUUGUGAAAGUUUGCGGCUCAACCGUAAAAUUGCAAUUGAUACUGGCAGUCUUGAGUACAGUUGAGGUAGGCGGAAUUCGUGGUGUAGCGGUGAAAUGCUUAGAUAUCACGAAGAACUCCGAUUGCGAAGGCAGCUUACUAAACUGCCACUGACAUUGAUGCUCGAAAGUGUGGGUAUCAAACAGGAUUAGAUACCCGUGUAGUC
rnacentral:rRNA from 1 species